UACGUAGGGUGCAAGCGUUAAUCGGAAUUACUGGGCGUAAAGCGUGCGCAGGCGGUCUUGCAAGCCAGAUGUGAAAUCCCCGGGCUUAACCUGGGAACUGCAUUUGUGACUGCAAGGCUGGAGUGCGGCAGAGGGGGAUGGAAUUCCGCGUGUAGCAGUGAAAUGCGUAGAUAUGCGGAGGAACACCGAUGGCGAAGGCAAUCCCCUGGGCCUGCACUGACGCUCAUGCACGAAAGCGUGGGGAGCAAACAGG
rnacentral:rRNA from 1 species